UUUGGACCCGGCGGAUCUGGACCGGAUCUGGACCACUCUCUAAAAAACCGGAUCCGGAUCUGGAGUAGAAGGUAUAAAACCCAGAUCCGGUCCAGAUCCGGUCCAGAUCCGGAUCUGGACCCGGUAAUAUUAUAGAUAUAAUAUUUUUAUUUUUUUAAUUUUAUCCAACCCUAAACAUAUCUAACUUUUACAAUUCAAUUUCAAAAUCAAAACCCUACUUCAUCUAAUCAUCUCACGGUCUCACCUCACCUGUGCCGCUCACCUAUCCUCCACGCCACCCGCGCCGCGCCGCUCGCCUAUCCUUCGGCCGGCGGCCGUGCACCUCCGAAUCAGCCCCUCCGGCCUUCCCCACCUGAGAGCAGCAGCGUGAGCAGAGCAGCGUGAGCAGCAGGCAACGCCAAUCCAUCUACGGCCGCUCCAUCUCCGUCCACCUUCGUCCACCUCCGGUCUCGGUCUCCGGUCUUCAGCCUUUCCCGAAAUCUGUGGACUUGAGCGGAGGCUCUGCUGCAGAGCAGGUUCUCGGCGUGAGCAGAGCAGCGCAAGGCAACGCCAAUCCAUCUCCGACCGCUGCUCGUCCUCUCCGACCGCUCCUCUCCGGCCGCUGCUCAUCCUCUCAUCAGGAUGUUGAUGAUGUCGAAAGUAGCUGCAAUAUGGAAGACAUCUUUGAGGAUUACAGAAAUUGAUCGUUUCAAUAUUAGGAUUAUUAUGUUCUCAUUUUGGAUUGUUUGGUUUUAAAUGAAUUAUGAUGUUCUUAUUUAUUUUGGAUUGUUUAGUUUUAAAUGGAUUAUGGUGUAUUUUGUAUUCUUGAAUGAUUGUUGAAACUUUAGACAAUUGUUAUGAUUUUUAUUUUAAUGUUUAA